AGUGAACGCUGGCGGUAGGCCUAACACAUGCAAGUCGAACGGCAGCACAGUAAGAGCUUGCUCUUACGGGUGGCGAGUGGCGGACGGGUGAGGAAUACAUCGGAAUCUACUUUUUCGUGGGGGAUAACGUAGGGAAACUUACGCUAAUACCGCAUACGACCUACGGGUGAAAGCAGGGGAUCUUCGGACCUUGCGCGAUUGAAUGGGCCGAUGUCGGAUUAGCUAGUUGGCGGGGUAAAGGCCCACCAAGGCGACGAUCCGUAGCUGGUCUGAGAGGAUGAUCAGCCACACUGGAACUGAGACACGGUCCAGACUCCUACGGGAGGCGGCAGUGGGGAAUAUUGGACAAUGGGCGCAAGCCUGAUCCAGCCAUACCGCGUGGGUGAAGAAGGCCUUCGGGUUGUAAAGCCCUUUUGUUGGGAAAGAAAAGCAGCAGGUUAAUACCCCGCUGUUCUGACGGUACCCAAAGAAUAAGCACCGGCUAACUUCGUG
rnacentral:rRNA from 1 species